UUUCUCUCUCUCUAUAGAGCUAGGCAGCACAGGGGAGCUUGGGUCUGGGUAUCCAUCUCUCUGUUCUGUCUCUGUCUCGAUGAAGGAAGAAAGAGUCAGGCAUAGGACCUGAUGUUUUUCGUCGCCUAUUUAUGCAGGGUUUUUAUAUGUGGUUCUUUUACUGGUUUCUGUUAUUCUUCCUUUUUUUUUUUAAUUUUCUUUUCCUCUUGUAAAUAUGUUAUUUUACUCGCCUAUUAAUCUAUGGUAUUGGGUCUCUCUCUCUCUCUCUCUCUCUCUUCAAUUUGUCAAUUACUCAAUGGUAUUGGCCCUGAUAUGUCCACAGUCCACUUAUAAAGAUAUAGUUGAUUGCACUUCAAGAAAAAAUAUUAAUUAUUUCUCUGUCUCUCUCUUUUCUUUUUUUUUUUGUUUUUUUGUUUUUUUGUUUUUUUUUUUCCUUCUGCAAUAUUUUGCCUUCUCUACUCAUUAAUUUGGGUUUCAAUUCCAGAAACAUGUAGAACUUGGGCUAUUUUUGGCUUCUGAUAUUCACCAGAACUAGAGAAUGGCAAUGAGUUUUCAAAUGGAUGAAGUACUUUAUGGGGUUUUCUAAUUUGGAUUGAGGAAAUUCAGAUUAAUACAUAUUUAGGAAUUAUUUUGAAAUUAUAGCAUUAUUUGUUGUCCAUUCGAAAACUGUGGAAUUUUAUAAGUGAAUUUAAGGGGCGCAUUCAGUAAAUAAGCGUUUAUCAUUUUGGAAGAAUAACAGGAAAUGAUUGAUUUUAAAAAAAAUAUUUCUCUAAACCUUGGUUGGUUUUCCGCUGUAUGAUCUCUCUUCUCUAUCUUUAAGUUGUUGAGUAGGCUCUCUCUCUCACAUGUCAACUCUCUAUCUCCUUCCCAAAAAGUUUGUCAUCUAUAGUGCUUGAUUCUGGCAAAAGUUUGUCCUCUCUAGUACUUGAAUCCUGAAAAAAAUGUUUUGUUGGUGUUGGUCAUCUUGUGAAACAAAAGUGCUGGUUGGUGUUUCUCUUGAGUUCUUGUGGUCUAUGUGUAACUUUGGCACUAAUUCUCUUCCGAAAUAGAUCCUGGUUUGUUUAACUUCGGUACUCUAUCUACUGAAGUAGGCCGUGUUUUGUUUCUUAACUUCAGAAAUUGUGGUACUGACGAACUCCUUGUUAUCUCUCGGACUUUGUUCCCUUCUGGUGAAGACUUUAUUUCCAAAACCUCAAGUGAAGUAACUUUCUUUGUUAUGGUCUUGCUGAGUUUCCCAUCUUUCAUUUCUAUUAAACUUGGUAGAGACAACUGCUUCAAAUGGAAUACCCAAAUUUUAAUUUGUAUUGAAGGUUUGAAUAUCGAAAGUCACCUUGAUGUCUAGUUGCCAUUCAAAUGAAUUUAUCUUUAAGAAACCACAAGAAAUUCAAGGCACCAAUCUAGAAUUAUCAAACGAUCACACUAAGAGAGAGUUUGACCCAAAAUUUCUAGAAUGGGGACUGAAGGAUAAAACAUUAUUGAGCUGAUUCCUCUCUACUCUCUAUGAUGACUUGCUUACUGAAGUGAUGCACCUAAAAACAGGUCAAGAAAUGUGGGUCACACUUUACAAUACAUAUCAAAGGGAAACUUUUGUCAAUGUUCUCCAACUUACAACUGAAUUGAUCAGUUUACAAAAAGUUCCUCAAUCAGUGACUGAAUAUCUGAAUAAGUUCAAAACUAUAUGUGACCACCUUGCAGCAAUUAGUACUCCAGUACGUGAUCAAGAUGUGGUCAUAUGUACUCUCAAAGGUCUUGGUCUAGAGUUUAAGUCUUUUGGGACUUCUCUUAUGACCAAACCUCCAUUUCCGUCCUUCUCAGAGCUUCGAUCCUCCCUUCUCACAUAUGAAACUCGAUUUGUAUCUUCAUCGGCCAUUGAGAGUAAUCCUCAAGCUUUGGUGGAAACAUCCCAAGGGCACAAAGGUGGAUAUGGCCGAGGACGUGGGCGUUAUAGAGGUAGAGGUCACAACCAAAAUCAACAAAGCACUCUGAGAGUCAACCCAUCUUACCAUCGACCUCCUCAACCAGGAAUGUGUAUGCCAUCUCGUGUAACCUAUCAGUAUUGUGUACGACAUGAACAUAUUGCUAAAACACUGAUGGGACAUAAAAAAUGUUUUAUCAUCCCACAAUGCGAUAGUGCAUGAUUUUAGCAACCUAUCGGCCACUAUCCCAAUCAAUCAAUCUUGGGUUAUGGACUCUAGUGCAACUACUUAUAUGACAGAUGACAACUCUUAACUUCGAGGUAUGAUUCCUUACCACGGUCCCUGCAUGGUUUUUACUGGAGAUGGUACUGCCGUACCUAUAACCUACAUUGGAUCUGUGACCGUUUCCACUACCCUUGGUUAUUUAAAUAUCCCUAGUGUUUUACUUGUUCCCAAACUAAAGAAAUAACUUAUAUAUGCAUCUUAAUUUGCUAAAGAUUUUAAGUGUUGUUUUGAGUUUACCCCUCGUGGUUGUUUUGUGAAUGAUCUACAAAGUGAGAUGGUGAUUGCUGAGGGGGUACUGAGAGAAGGCUUAUAUGUGUUCCAAAAUGAUCAACUCUAUGGUCUUGCUACAACUAUCUCCAAAGUUAGAAGAUGCGCUUCUAUUUUGUGGCAUGAAUACCUAGGUCAUCUUAAUUUCUAUAUUGUUAUUCGUCUUGGAAGAGAGUUAGCUCUACCUAAUUUUAUUGAUGACCUACCCUUCUGGUUUAUUGUGUUCAUCUUGUCAAUUAGGAAAACAUUGUGAGUCUAAACUUGACUCAACUAUUAGAAAGUCUAAUGCUCCUCUUGAUCUAAUUCGCAGUAAUGUUUAGGGUCGAGCCCCAGUUACUUCCUUAUUUGGUUCUAGAUUUUAUGUUAUUUUUGUGGAUGAUUACACUUGAUAUCCUUGAAUAUAUUUCUUGAAACAAAAAUCUGAUGUUUUUAAUUGCUUUAUUAAAUUUCAUACCUGUGUUGAGCGUCAAUUUGCUUGCAAACUCAAGGACUGAUGGUGGAGGUGAAUUGACCUCUCAUGCUUUCAAAGAAUAUUGAGUCAGUUUGAAAUUCAUCAUCAAUAUUCAUGUCCAUACACUCCAAUACAAAUCUUUCUAUGAUGUAUGCAAGUGGUCUACCACAAGUCCUUUGGGCAGAAGUCUUUUCCACUGCGGUGUAUCUGAUUAAUAGAUUGUCAUGCUCUACAUUAUCUUUCAUAUCUUCCUUUCAAAAGAUUUUUGGUAGCACACCAGAUUACUCAUUUCUUUGUCUUUGACUGUGUAUGUUUCUCACAUAUUCAUUAUUCUCAAAGAAAUAAAUUUUCUCCUAAAGCUUAUAAGUGUGGGUUUGUUGGGUACGGCUUAAAACAUUACGGCUAUCGAUGUUAUGACAAGGUGUCACAUCGCUUCUUUAUUGCAAGACAUGGAACUUUUGAUGAAACUAUGUUCUAUUUUAAGGACCAGUGUUCCCAAAUUAAUACAAGUGAUGUUAUGUCAAAUAAUGUGUUUGUCCCUAUUUCAAUGCCUUCUCACUUGUAGGGAAAAUAUCAAUCACAAGCUUUUAGUUCAUCUGAGGUUACAAAUGAACCAUCUCAGCAGCAUCACCCUCAUCAGUCAUCACCUCACUCUGACAGGUCUAAUCUACAACCUCUUUCUUCAGUAGAAUGCUCACCACCAUUGUCUAUCUCUCUUGCUUCAAACUUAGAUUCAUCACCUACAAUGCAAUAUGGUUUACUUGGAAGGACCCAUAGAAGUCUCACCUAUACCCCUAUGCCGAUCCUCUCACUCAACACAACCUCCUAAACAUUUGUCUGACAACCAGGUUUACUUUGCAACCAUUCCCUCUCCUAACUCCACCUCUAAGCCCAUAAGAACAAAACAUCCUAUUGAAAUUUUACCUUGGGAGAGGGACUGUCUUAAGCUCAUAAGGUAUUUGUAAUACAAAUUUCUCAAAUUCAAGAACCAACCACCUAAACUGCCUCAGACAUUGAGUGGCAGGUCUCAAUGAAAGAGGAGAUAGAUGUACUCAAAAUGAACCAUACUUGGGAACUAGUGCCAUUGCCUCCGGGUAAAAAUGUUGUGGGCUCAAAAUGGGUAUACAAAGUUAAGGUCAGAUCAGAUGGCUCAGUCGAAAGAUUGACGUCUAAACUAGUGGCCAAGGGGUUUAGUCAAGAAUAUGAUAUUGAUUAUGAUGACACUUUUAGUCCAAUUGUGAAGGCACCCACUAUUCGAUGCAUUCUGGCCCUAUUAUCUAUGUUCAAUUGGAAACUUCAUCAACUUGAUAUGAAAAAUACAUUUCUUCAUGGUGAUCUGAAAGAAGAAGUGUACAUGCGGCAACCUAAAGGAUUUGAAGAUAUCUUACGGUUGCACCAUGUUUGCAAACUGAAAAAGGCUAUUUAUGGACUCAAGCAAGUUCCCCGGGCAUGGUUUGAGAAAUUCUGCUGUCUACUUCAUAGUCUUGGUUUUCAAAGGAGCCUCCUUCUAAUUUAUGUGGAUGACAUCAUUGUUAUAGGAAAUGAUAUUUAGGGCAUUCAAUAUAUUAAGAAAGCAUUGAAGCUCAACUUUGAGAUGAAUGAUCUUGGAGAAUUGAAAUACUUUUUGGGUAUUGAAAUUCAUCGGAUAGAAAGAUGCAUUGUUCUCACCCAACAUAAGUAUAUUCUUGAUUUACUUUCUAAAACCAGGAUGUUGCGGUACAAAUCUAUUUCCACAUAGACUGAAGUAAAUAGGAAGUUAAGGACUGAAGAAGGGGAGUUGCUUAUGCAAUGAAUACAAUAUGUCAGUUCAUGCAGACUCUUAAACAAUCUCAUUGGGAAGCCACAAAAAUAAUUUUGAGGUAUUUAAAGGGUACUAUACAUGAUGGCUUGUUCUAUACUUCUUUUGGCUCACUUGAUCUCAAAGGAUAUUCUGAUGCUGAUUGGGCGGGGUGCCUCAAUGAUUGUAGAUCCAUUACAGGAUUUUAUAUCUUCUUGGGAAAGAGUCUAAUUUCAUGGAGUAUCAAAAACAGGCAUCAAUAUCAAAAUCCAGUACAUGGUCAGAAUAUCGAGUAAUGAGUAUUAUAUCAGCAGAAAUCACUUGGCUACACAUGUGUCUCAAGGAAAUUGGAGUUUCUACAAUUAAGCCAACCAUUCUAGCUUAUGAUAAUUAAAGUGCCAUGUGAUUAGCCACCAAUCAUGUCUUUCAUGCUCGCACCAAACACAUAGAAGUUGAUUAUCAUUUCAAUAGAGAGAAGGUAGUAUCAGGUGAUAUUUUUAUGACGGUUGUUCCUUCAUCUCGUCAGAUUGCAGACUUGUUUACUGAGGCAGUUACAAGAUUAGGACACCAUGAGACCACAGAUAAGCUCUCAAUGCACAAGAUGCAUGCUCGGAUUGAAGGUGGUGUUAAAGAGAGACUGUCUUUUGAAAUAUUGUAUAGGGCUUUAGUCAUUCUUUUAUUCUUUACCCUUAAGGGUAAAUCUGUCCAUGGUAUAUGUAAAUAUACUAGAUAUGUAAACAAAGUAUGUGAAAUGAAUCCUGGUGUUCUCUUCAGUUUCUCUCUCGAGGGUUUCAUAAGUUUAACAUAUUCGGCUAAAUUUUUAUGAAACUCUCGGGUGUUUAUCAUUUCAAUAAAAAUACUUUUCUUCUUCCUUCUUCAUUUUUUUCUUUGCAAUAGAAAAUUUGCUCUUUUUGAGGUGUUUGGGAUAUAAUUCAUAAUUUUCACCUGAACCCUUAUUCUAAUUUGAACUAUUUGCAUGUUGCUAUAAUUCUAGUUGUUGAAAGUGUUAAAGAAUUUUAUUUUUAUUGCCAACUUUUGACUUUCUUGUUAGACUAAUUUGUAGAUUUGAAACUCUGCACAACAACUCAAUGGAACAAUUAUAAUAUUUUGAGUUUUUGGUUGUCAAGUUCAUAGAAGAAUUUCUUAUUUUUCAGAGUUUUUAAAAAGAUUGUCCUUCUUUCUUGUGGGUGAAAUUUAUGGGAUUCUUGGCCGAAUAGUGAUCACUAAAGUUUAGUUCUAGAAGACCUCCCCAUGAGUCUCAAUGAAAUUUACAAAGUUUCAUGAAGCAUUUAAGCUCUAUGAAAAUUAACCGCUGAAAUAUAUGAAAUUGUGGUGUUUUUCUUCUUCUUUUGCCUAGAAUUUAAUUUUAUCAUCUGAGUCUUUGUUAAUAGUAUGCAUUAGUGCUUUUUGUCAAGUGUUUGAAUAAAAUUUUUAAUCUUGUGUCUUCUUAUUUUGAUUAAUCUCUUCCUUUUUCUUUUUUUUUGUCAAUGUGUAGAACUCUUGGAUUUUCGGAUACCUGGUUGUUCUUUUUGUGUCUAUCAUCUGCUCUUGUUUGUUUCUUUCACCUAUCCUUAUUGUUUCUGUCAUUCCCUUUAAGAUUGUGGGGUUCUCAUGGUGAUGUAGAAUGGCUUGCAUGGCCAUCAGCACUUUUUAUGUGACCGAUGAGGAGCUCCAAAACUCUCCCUCUCGAAAGGAUGGAAUCAAUGAACAGACUGAGACCGCCCUUCGCCACUAUGGCUGCGAUCUCAUCCAGGGGAGCGGCAUUCUUCUAAGACUAGAGUUGCUGCAAGUUUGUAUAUGGAUCGCUUCUAAAUCAGAAGAAAACCAAAGAGAGGCAAAACACAUAAUCAGCAUAUUCCAUAGGAUGGAAUGCAAGAGAGAGAAUUUACCCAAGAAAAACGUGGGCCUCUCCUCUCAGUAUGCUUGAAGUUUUUUCUUGAAUGCAUUGGAGUACUCCUUUCGAUAUUGGUGAUUCUGAUCCGGGAAUAUGCAGUGCUGAAAAUGGAUUUAGCUGAAAUGGAGCACCAUAUACUCACGGAGAUGGGAUUUAAAUGUCAUUGUGAACAUCCUUAUGAUUUUAUUUUGAGCUAUCUUAACACCCUCAAGACCCCACAUAAGGUGAGGCAGGAGGCAUGGAAUCUUGCUAAUGACGGGUACAACAUUAGCCGACUUACGCACAACCUUAUGCAUUCGCUUCAAAAGUGAAGUCAUUGCAUGUGCGGUUGUGUAUUCUGCCUCUCGCCGGCUUCGGUAUCCCCUUCCAGAAAAUCCACCAUGGUGGGAAGUCUUCGAUACAAGGAAGUCACAGAUUGAUGAAGUUUGCAGAGUCCGUGCUAAGCUUUAUUCUCUUCCCAAGCCAAUGUACAUGCUUGUACACAAUGAUGACAUUUUGUGUGUUUCUUCAGUGAAUAGUUAAUUGUAGUUGAGAGAGAUAAGAAAUUAGAACUUACUUGCAAAGAAGAUUACCUCUCCUUCAUCAAUCAUUAUUCACUAUCUGUUGAUCUGAAGGAUGUCUUUGGGAAGGAGUCCUUUUGCAAUAAAUAGCCAAUCAGAAUAAGGGUGCCUAAUGUGGUCAAUUCAACACUGUUUGCUAGCAUCUUUUGCAAUUGAGCCAGUAUGGAGAAAACAGCUAUUAGCCUAUGUUUUACAAUGGGAAAGAAAAGACUCUAUGAGGUGGGUAUACGCGCCUGGAUGAUAUGUUGCCAUUCCCUGUCAAGAUCAAGGACUGAGUACCCCAGAAACUCUUUUAAUGCAAGUGCCCAUGAGAUGAUGUGGGCUUUUGUUUGGUCGAAUAGGGUGGAAAGUUGCAGUCAUCUAUUGUUGGAAAUACGUGAUUGCGUUCCAACCAUAUGGACCAAAUGAUUAUCAGCACUGAGAGGAACCGACGGCUGGAAAAGGAGGGGAAAAGCAUUGGAAAAGGCUCUCAACUGGUGGUGGGUAGACCUAUGUAAGUUCAAAUAGUUUCAAGCAUUCUGACUGGAGGUGUAUGAAUAAGUGGUCUACAAAUCUUCAACUUCCCUGCACAUCGAGCAUCAGUAUGGUAGAUGGAUGCGCAAGUUCUAUGUGUCCAAGGCGAGGGGUGUGUUUAAGAUCACCAACCAAUUAGUGGCUGGAGCAAUCGUAAGGUUAUAGCUUGGGUUGGAUGUUGUUGAAAGCUCUAUUUUAAGAAGAGACUGAGAAUUUACCUGAACUUUCAGGUCUCUAGACUAUCUUAUCGUGACCUUGACAUGGCAACAAAUAGUUCCAUAGGGUGAGUUCAUCUCCACACUAACAACCGACUUGGAUGUUCAGCCAUGGUUGAAAUGGUCACUUCGUGUCUAAAAUUGUACUGACAUAUUUUCUUUCUUAUUGCACUAUUUAGCAUAUUGGCUUCUUUCAUUA